ensembl:lncRNA
CCCAUGAGUGCCACGUGGCAAAUUGGAACAGAUGGCAGUGCUCUUUUGAUUCUUUUGUAUAUAACUGACUGUUCCUGCUUGGUUAGACUGGAGUAACUAGGUUGAUGUCAUGGUCUUUUGGAUAUGGUUUUUAAUGCUAAGUACCCAAGAUGAAGGAAAAAAUUAGAUGUCCAUUAACUAAGAUUUAAAAUAGCUAAUUAAGAUAACAGCUGAUGCACAGCUAAACGAUAGCUAAAAUGAAUAGCUGGUGCAUAGCUAAGCAAUAGCUAAAAUAAAUAGCUGAUGCACAGAUAUAUGCAUCAUCUUAGUGGUCUGCAGAGAAACAAGCAAAUUAACAAUACUGUGUGAGGGAGAGCAUGGGCUGUAAUCAUAUCUCGGAUAGCUGUCAUAGUCAUAAAUCUUAAUUAGUCGGUGAUGACAAGUCAAUUAUAAAUAUGUACCUACAAGAGGAAAGCCAUGAGAAAGUUAAAUAUUUUCCUCCCUUUUGUCAAUUAUUUGCUGGACUUCAGUCAUAUUCCCACCAUAACGACUAUUUUAAGGUGUUUUAUUUAAGCUAUCUUAAAGAAUUUGGGCAUAUUGAGCAAGUAGGCAUGUGUAUUCAUCAGAGACUUGGAUGUUGCUUUAGUAUAUGUGAAAAGUAUCACAUUUGGUUGCAAUUUGUGCUAUGACAAAAAUACGGAGCUAUUCUAAAGAUAUAAAAUACACUCGAAUCACAUACAUAAAGAUUUUAUUUUAUUGGUGGUCUUGGAAAGGGUUGAAUCCAGUGUUGUUUUCUGAAGUUUUAGCAAUGGGCAGUGAUUUGUUCAUGUUAAUUUAUCUGUUCCUCUAAUUAAAACUCCUUGAAGUGUCCUUGUUAUCCUCAUUCCCUGCCAGGAAGUCCCACUGAGCUCAUCCUGGCUCCAAGCAGCUAUGUGACACUGCAGCAGCAUCAACACCCCAAAAUCACACAGUCACAGAAUGGUUCGAGUUGGAAGGGACCUUUAGAUGCCAUCUGGUCCAACUCCCCUGCCAUGAACAGGGACACCUACAGCUCCAUCAGGUGCUCAGAGCCCCAUCCAGCCUGACCUUGAGUGUCUCCAAGGACAGGGCAUCCACCACUUCUCUGGGCCAACUGUGCCAGUGCCAUUACUAUCCUAAGAACCAACAGGCUUAUUUGUUUUGCAGAGCCGUAAGUGAAAGGACUCUGGCUUUAAUGUUUGGAAAAUGCAGACGGAGAUGGGUGGGAAAAAUUAACACCUGCACUUCACUUCUGUACUCACGCGGAUGGACUGUGUGUGUGUACUGCAGGUGCAUGGGGUUACUGCCCUUGUUAUGAUCAGAUGCUGCUGUGGAUAGGGUAAUUGCUGGGAAAAAUCUAUCUGCUUCAAGAUCAUUAGGAGUUCUGCUGCUGAGUGCAACACCGCCACAGUUUUAACCUGAACACUGAUUUGCAGCAUCACUGCUGUGAGAGAGCCCCGACAGCGCUAGGUAAAAUCAAUGGGAGCGUUAGAAAUAAGCUCUUGAUGCCAUUAAAAGGCAAACAACCUGCUCAGGUCUUCUUGGAUCAGCCUCAGUGCUACAGAGAGUUGCUUUCCUGGGGAGGGACAAAAAUGAGUUUUAUGCACUCCUGUCUUUGAACAUCUCUUCUGCUGGUGCCACAGGGAUUGGCAGCAGCACUAAUAGUGAAGUGAUAACAGUACGCAUAUAAGUCCUAUCAGAAACAAAACAUAUUCCCUAUGAGAGGGGGAAAAAAAAAGAGGCCAAUAAUGUUACUUUCUGGAGAUUUUCUCAUUAUUGAUUUUUAAAAAUCUAUUUAUUUAUUUUUUCUUUAAAAAUGAAAUGUAUUUUAAAUAUAACCCUUUGUCUUUUCAGGACAGUAUUUUUAUCCAGAAAGCAUCAGGCUGGCCCUGAUGUGCACCCAAUAAAGGAUGGCAGUUACCCCUGGCCUGCAGGGUCUUUAAGGCUGUGUGAGACCCAUAGAAUCAUAGAAAGGCUUGGGUUGGAGGGCACCUUAAGAUCAUCGAGUUCCAACCCCCCUGCUGUGAGUAGUUACCAACCACUAGAUCAGGCUGCCCAGGGUCCAUUGGCAACUCAUUGGGCUGCCAAUUUCCCAUUGAGAAGAGCUAGAAUUUAGAUUAAAAACAGUUCAGAAGCCACCUGUACUCCCUAAUGUACUGCAUCCACUGUGUUGUGUUGUUCUUUUAGGUCUUCGAAUCAAGUCUUCUGCUCUAGAGAGAUCAAGACUGAACCUCCUUUGCUCAUUUAGAGGCAUAAAUGACAGAUUCCAAAGCAAUUUAGUUAGUUAGUUAGUUAGUUAGUUAGUUGUAAGUGUGCAUCCUGCAGGUGCUGGUGGGACAAGUUCCCAUAGGAGCUCUACAGCCUCAGAAAGUCCAAAUCCAAAUGAAAAACUGAGACUUUCCUAGCUUGGUAUAGGCCUCUAUAUAUGUGGCUCUGGGCAGCCUGGUCUGGUGGCUGGAGACCCUGCCCAUGGCAGGGGGGCUGAAACUAGAUGAUCUUUGAGGUCCUUUUCAACCCAGGCCAUUCUACGAUCCUCAGAUUCAUACAGUGUAAGUUGGGGGGGUUGUGUUUGUUGGUUUUUUUAAUCUUGCUUUUUCCUAGCGACGUUUUUCCAAAACAAAUAGCUGUGCCACUGACUCCAGUUCAGUUUCCUGCCUCUAGCUGUUGAGAUGGCUGAGAAUUAACCACCCUAAGAGAUUUCUACUGAGCAGACUUUCAAUGGAUGCGAGUACCGCAGGAGGAAACUCAAGCGUCCCUACUACCCAUUCAAACAGCAGCAGCAGCAUGAGUUCUAAAGACUUCCUGUAUCCUGAAAAGCAGUAUGAUAAUGAUUGGGCUCCGGGACUGGGGUAGGUGUGCCAGGAUCGGUCAGGUCCUGUCUAUAAUAGAUGGGGUGAGCCAACUUGGCUCUUUCCAUAGGGCUCCAUGCUUGCUCAAGCUGCACACGUAGCUUUUGAGUGGCAAGUCGUAUGGAUAAAUGCUAUUACUGAUGCAAUAAAGGUAGGAAUAAAUUGCUCCUGUUCCUGCUUUCUCUGUUUGAUCAGCAAAAUGCACGCAGAGAGAGAUCGAUAGACAGAGAAAUGAGAAAUGUAUUACAGCAGAUGGUAUUUGCCCACGCUUCGCAGCUGUCUGGCUAAAUAGCAAUAUUGAUCUUGUAAAUAAUGACAUCCCUAAAAUAUUGUCUGUAUUCUUCAAGCAGUAAGGGUAGGCCUUGGGGCAUGAAUGUCUCCACUGAAUGCAUCUCACCUAGGAAAGGCAUCAUUAUCCAGCACAGAGCACCUGCAGAAUGGGCUCUCUCACACUGACCACAUCUUAUUUAUUUCUCUUGCAGUAACCAAAUGGAAACCAGAAAGGUAAUCACAUUUUCCCUCUUUUUUAAUGAACAUGUAGGACAGAAUUUACUUAAUUCAGAAAUGUUGAAGUCUUCUAAGCAGCCACUGACUGAAUGAGGCUUAUUUGUCCCUUUAUAACCAAAAUAUUCCAAAUCUGGAGGAUUUGAAGUAGCAAGUAGGAACACUGUGCACUCAGUAAGGAAGGGCUUGUAUUACAGAACUGAAGAACCCAUCACAGCUCUACCAAAGUUAUGGAAGACUUUGGGCCAAAAUACAUGCUCUGCCCUUUCUUCCAUACCCUGGUGACUAGACAUAAGUGGUGCUCCUAAGGGUUCAGUACUGAGGCUGGUUCUGUUUAAUAUAUUUAUAGGUGAACUGGAUGAGGGGAUUGAGAUCGCCCUCAGUAAGUUUGCAGAUGACAUCAUGUUGGGAGAAAACGUCAAUCUGCCUGGAGGUAGGAAUGCCCUACAGAGGGAUCUGGAUAGGCUGAGGCCAGUUGUAUGAGGUUCAACAAGACCAAGUACUGGGUCCUGCACUUUGGUCACAACAACCCCAUGGAAUGCUGCAGGUUUGGGGCAGAGUGGCCCAAGUCAUAGAAUCAUAGAAUGGCCUGGGUUGAAAAGGGCCACAAUCAUCAUUGAGUUUCAACCCCCUGCCACGUGCAGGGUCACCAACCACCAGACCAGGCUGCCCAGAGCCACAUCCAGCCUGGCCUUGAAUGUCUGCAGGGAUGGGGCAUCCACAACCUGGUUGGGCAACCUGUUCCAGUGCGUAAAGUCCCAGAGUGGGUUUGAAAUCGAGAUGCACUGUACCUCUUACCAUCUCAGCAGAGAAAAAUGUGAAAUAACGACUUGCUCUUCAAUUAUACAAGAAUUUUGGUAUACAAGAUUUUAGUAAGGAGCUGAUAGAUUUGGAUUCCUUGCUGGACUGGUCCAAUCCUCACUAAGGUAUACAUAAACUCAAGAAGAGAAUGGAAAGAUCCUCUCUGAAAAACUACACUCCAUUGAGGAUAAGAGGAAGGCUCCUUUUUCAAGCAAAGAAUUAAGGUAGUAAGACAAGUGCCACGCUUUUUUUUAAUCAGCCUUGCACUGGAAGAGCACCACGAGGGAACGAGGAGGUUGGUGUUGGUGUACAAAGAAGGGAUGAUUCCAGUUGCAGACACUUUGGCUUCCGUGAUAGUUUAAGCGUGACCACAUUUAUGUGCACUUUUUUCCUGAUGCAGCUUUAGAUUAACUUUGAAUUUGGAGUGAUUAAAGAAUAUUCCUAAUUCAAUAUCCCAGGUUAAACUGGAUAUUACCAGCUCCUCCAGACUUACUGAUUUCAUCUAGAUAAGCAAAGAGAAGGCUUUCCUUGUUUGCAAGAUGGUUCUGGCUGUAUGUUUAAAGGGUAUUAAUUCUCAUUAUACCUUACUAAUACUCAUUACAGUUCGUUUUUUCUCACUGGUUAUAAUGUGCUCAUGUUCUCUUUAUCGCUUGGGUUAGAAUCAUAUGCUGUAAUACAUAGAGCAGGCAUACACUGUGCUGCCUGCUUAAUUAUUUCCAUUUCCUUCUAUGUCAGGUUCCACAGUACAGUAAUUAUAUCUGAUCAUGAAACAAGACCUACAGAGACAAUAAUAAAAACCUAACAGGUGGUAACACUUGUUUGAUAACAUGGAACAAGGUGAAUCACUUUAACUAAACUCUUAAUUUAUUUCUCUUUAGUUAAUUCAGCUUAAUUAGAUAACCUGCUAACGGGUUAAUUAACCUGAAAGGUUAAUUCAGUCAUACCUGAAGCACUCUAUUAUUAUAUCUGUAUUGCUGUUCUUUUUUUUUUCUUCUUCUUUUUGAAUGAUACUACUGCUUUAUUACCUCUCCUCCUCAUUAAUUUUACUGCUGCUGUUGAUCUUCCUAGAAAUGUUUGUUUUCUCCAAGGCCAAGCUAAUCCAUAAUUCAGUGCUAAUGGCCAAUCAGCCGCGCAUUACCCACAGUGCAGAAAGCAAUGGCAGGGUUUGCGUGCAGGGAUGGAUUGCAACCUCUCACCAUGGAAAGCAUUGGGUAACAGGGAAAGGUAGCAGGGAAUGCUGUGAUAUCGCACCCUAAGUAGUCACAGCUCCCCUGCCUUGGGCACUGAUAGGACAUCUCUUGCCAUUUGUUAUGGAUUUCUUUUGCAAUGCCAUCUUCGAGAAAUGCAUCACUGCUCUUCUUCCUGAGCAGACAUAAAAAAGUUGAAGUCAAACCAAAACCAAAGAUGCUAAAAUCAAACGCAGCAAACACAACUGAAAGGAAAGCAAGGGAAGGGAUUGUGCUAUGCUAUACUGGUGUGGCCUCACCUCAAGCACUGUGAACAGGUUUGGGACACAAUAUAAGGAUAUAAAACCACUAGAGAGCAUCCGAAGGAGGGUUACGGAGAUGGUGAAGGUCCUAGAAGGUAAUGUGUAUGAAGAGCAGCUGAGAUCCCUUCGUUUGUUCAGUCUAAAGAAGAGGAGGCUGAGGGGAGGCGUCAGGACAGCCUACAAGUGAAGUACUCUCUGGUGACAACAGAGAAUGGCAUGGAGUUGUGUCAGGGAAGGGUGGGAAAGGACCUUAAACGCCAUCCAACUCCAACUCCCUGUCAUAGGCAGGAACACCUCCCACCAGAUCAGGUUGCCCAAAGCCUCACCAGGCAUCACAGCAACACAGACUGGCCCAGAGAGCGGGCAUCCACAGCCUCUCUGGGCACCCUGUGCCAGUGCCUUGUGCUGGUGAGAAGGGGAUCUGCACCAGAACCAAUUCAGACACCAAUCCUUCUCCAGCACUGCAGAUGUUUUAAUUCUAAAUCUAAUCCUGUAGUACAAUGAAAUGCACAUAUAGCCCACAGCCUGAGACCUGCUCAAAGUUCCCCCAGCAGAGCAAGCUGUCACAGAAGUACCAGGCUGUGCCACAAGCAUCUUAAGCACCCGGAGAAGCUGAAGAAUUAGACCUGCUGUGUUCAGGCUUAGAUUUAACGAGCCCCUGCUAAGCACAGAGCUGAAUGAGAUCAUAUUUGGUCCGAGGCCAGAAAGAAAUGGUGCAGUAAUGGUUUCAUUGGCUUUUUGAGAAGGGGCUGUCUGACUUCAGAGAGUCAACAGCAACACUCCUCCUGCUAAUCUCAUUUUCAGAAGCGUGCUGUGUGAGAAGAAGCUUCCUCACCAAGUUUUGCUUGAUUGCCCUCUGUUUAUCUAGGAUUACGUUAGGAGCCCAAGACUAUCUGAAAACAGCCCAUGGCAAUCCAGACGGAGCUGUGAUUUCGUGAACAGCUUCAGCAGCAUCAGAUCUGCAAGAAGAGAAACUUGAGCACUUCCAGCAAGUUGUUGGCUGGAUGGUAGCCAGUUUGGUCAGUACGAAGUGCUUCAGAAUCAACAGAAUGGAUGUGCAGGAAAGGCAAAAUUUAAAGAAAGACAAAAAUAUUUUACACACACAGGUUUCAGGCAUGCAGAUUUAAGACAGGUGCAUGGCAAGUGCUGCAACUAACAAGUGAUGGUUAGAGAAUCUGGUUAAUUUAAAAUAAUGUAGUGUAUUUACCUUAAGCAAAAAGAAAUCAAAUGCAACAGGGUCUGGAUGAAGUGCCUGUGUAAG